rnacentral:rRNA from 1 species
UACGGGGGGGGCAAGCGUUGUUCGGAAUUACUGGGCGUAAAGGGCUCGUAGGUGGCCAACUAAGUCAGACGUGAAAUCCCCCGGCUUAACCUGGGAACUGCGUCUGAUACUGGGAGGCUUGAGUAUGGGAGAGGGAUGUAGAAUUCCAGGUGUAGCGGUGAAAUGCGUAGAUAUCUGGAGGAAUACCGGUGGCGAAGGCGGCAUCCUGGACCAUAACUGACGCUUAAGCGCGAAAGCUAGGGGAGCAAACGGG